rnacentral:lncRNA from 1 species
AUGGAGUCUGGUUACUAUAGAAGUCCUGCUGUUGGAGAAGCUCGGCCAUUGACGAAGUCCGAAAGAAGUUCGGAGUAGAGUCAAUCGUGGCUGGAAGAAGUCUGGAAGAGAUUCGGAGAAUAGUCAAUCACUGCAGAAAAUCGAUUGAUAUUGAAGCCCAAAGAGCAUUUGGAGCAGCCCGGUACAUGAAUGGAGGAGCUCAAUGUCGGAGAAGUCCGAAUGGUAUUAUGGAAGCUCAGACGGUCGAGAGAGUUCAGAAAGAUGCCACACA